GAUGAACGCUGGCGGCGUGCCUAAUACAUGCAAGUCGAGCGAGAUGUUAGCGCAUGAACCUUCGGGGGAUUAUGCUAACGGAAAGCGGCGGACGGGUGAGUAACGCGUAGGCAACCUGCCCCUGACAGAGGGAUAGCCAUUGGAAACGAUGAUUAAAACCUCAUGACACCGUAGAAGCACAUGCUUCAUCGGUCAAAGAUUUAUCGGUCAGGGAUGGGCCUGCGUCUGAUUAACUAGUUGGUGAGGUAACGGCUCACCAAGGUGACGAUCAGUAGCCGACCUGAGAGGGUGAUCGGCCACAUUGGAACUGAGACACGGUCCAAACUUCUACGGAAGGCAGCAGUAGGGAAUCUUGCACAAUGGGCGAAAGCCUGAUGCAGCAACGCCGCGUGAAGGAUGAAGGCCUUCGGGUUGUAAACUUCUGUUCUAAGGGAAGAAACAAAUGACGGUACCUUAGGAGCAAGCCCCGGUAA
rnacentral:rRNA from 1 species